rnacentral:rRNA from 1 species
AUGACCAACUCCAUCAACCACACCGCGCUCGAGAGGAUUGUCGUCAAGUCAUCACCGGAGCUGCCGCUGCCGGAGUCCAUGUGUCCGUCAAGGGGCUCGAGGCGCUGCUCUUCAUCGUUUCCACACGAAGCUCUGGUUUCCGAAACGGCUUCACAAGGAUUACGUUACGGUUACCUACAAGUUCUUCCCGUGAGACCCUCGCGGCCGCCAUCAUUUGCGUUGUCCUCGUGCACACCGGUGAAGCCCGUAGUCAAGGACGUCGCACCGGACAGCGGAGUCUCCAGAUGA